rnacentral:rRNA from 1 species
GACGAACCACACGAACGUUAUUCGGAAUUACUGGGCUUAAAGGGUGCGUAGGCGGCGCGGUAAGUAGGGUGUGAAAUCCCUCGGCUCAACCGAGGAACUGCGCUCUAAACUACCGUGCUCGAGGGAGAUAGAGGUGAGCGGAACUUAGGGUGGAGCGGUGAAAUGCGUUGAUAUCCUAAGGAACACCGGUGGCGAAAGCGGCUCACUGGAUCUCUUCUGACGCUGAGGCACGGAAAAGCUAGGGUAGCGAACGGG